rnacentral:lncRNA from 1 species
CCGGCCUUCAGGCAGUUAUUUUUGGGUGCGGCUUUGCCCGCGGCCUACUUUUGGCACACGGAGGCUCCUCGCAAAGUCUGGCGCCAUUCCGAGUCCGGCGGACGAAGUUGGCCAGCCCCACCCCCCAAGGCUAUAGCCCACCCAUUUUUGAGGCCUUUUUCAGCUGGACGAACUUGGCGCCCCGGCCUUCGGGCGGUUAUUUUUGGGCGCGGCUUUGCCCGUGGCCUAUUUUUGGCACACGGAGGCCCCUCGCAAAGUCUCACGGCAUUUCCGAGUCCGGCGGACGAAGUUGGCCAGCCCCACCCCCCAAGGCUAUAGCCGACCCGUUUUUGUGGCUUUUUCCGCUGGACGAACUUGGCGCCCCGGCCUUCGGGCUGUUAAUUUUGGGCGCGGCUUUGGCCGCUGCCUAUUUUUGGCACACAGUGGCCCCUCGUAAAGUCUCGCGGCAUUCCGAGUCCGGCGGACGAAGAUGGCCAGCCCCACCCCCCAAGGCUAUAGCCCACCCGUUUUUGUGGCCUUUUUCCGCUGGACGAACUUGGCGCCCCGGCCUUCGGGCGGUUAUUUUUGGGCGCGGCUUUGGCCGCUGCCUAUUUUUGGCACACAGAGGCCCCUCAUAAAGUCUCGCGGCAUUCCGAGUCCGGCGGACGAAGAUGGCCAGCCCCACCCCCCAAGGCUAUAGCCCACCCGUUUUUGUGGCCUUUUUCCGCGGGACGAACUUGGCGCCCCGGCCUUCGGGCGGUUAUUUUUUGGUGCGGCUGUGCCCGCGGCCUAUUUUUGGCACACGGAGGCGCCUCGCAAAGUCUCGCGCCAUUCCGUGUCCGGCGGAUGAAGUGGGCCAGCCCCAGCCCCCAAGGCUAUAGCCCACCCGUUUUUGUGGCCUUUUUCCGGUGGACGAACUUGACGCCCUGACCUUCGGGCGGUUAUUUUUGGGCGCGGCUGUGCCUGCGGCCUAUUUUUUGCACACGGAGGCACCUCGCAAAGUCUCGCGCCAUUCUGAGCCCGGCGGACGAAGUUGUCCUGCCCCACACCCCAAGGCUAUAGCCCACCCGUUUUUGUGGGCUUUUUCUGCAGGACGAACUUGGCGCCCCGGCCUUCGGCGGUUAUUUUUGGGCGCGGCCUUGCCCGUGGCCUAUUUUUGGCCCAGGGAGGCCCCUCGCAAAGUCUCGCGGCAUUCCGAGUCCGGCGGACGAAGUUGGCCAGCCCCACCCCCCAAGGCUAUAGCCCACCCGUUUUUGUGGCUAUUUUCCCCUGGACGAACUUGGCGCCCCGGGCUUCGGGCGGUUAUUUUUUGGCGCGGCU